CCUACGGGUGGCAGCAGUGGGGGAUAUUGCACAAUGGGGGAAACCCUGAUGCAGCGAUGCCGCGUGAAUGAAGACGGCCUUCGGGUUGUAAAGUUCUGUCGCAGGGGACGAAAAUGACGGUACCCUGCAAGAAAGCUCCGGCUAACUACGUGCCAGCAGCCGCGGUAAUACGUAGGGAGCAAGCGUUGUCCGGAUUUAUUGGGUUUAAAGGGUGCGCAGGCGGUCUGUUAAGUCAGCGGUCAAAGCCCGGGGCUCAACCCCGGCCCGCCGUUGAAACUGGCAGUCUCGAGUUGGAGAGAAGUAUGCGGAAUGCGCGGUGUAGCGGUGAAAUGCAUAGAUAUCGCGCAGAACUCCGAUUGCGAAGGCAGCAUGCCGGCUCCACACUGACGCUGAGGCACGAAAGCGUGGGUAUCGAACAGGAUUAGAUACCCGUGUAGUC
rnacentral:rRNA from 1 species